CAGAACCAGAAAUUCUACUUUAUUAUGUCAGUGUCAGUCAGUUAGUUGAGCGUGUUUAUUAAAGUUCAGGAGUGACCUCGCCACCAGCAGACGUUUUACUGAAGCCCAGAUGAUGCUGUGUGUAUGAAUGUGAGUGAAUGAGUGAAUGAGUAUUAGUUUGUGUUUGUGUGACUGGGUUUUCCAGGUUUUCCAGGUUUUCCAGGCUGCAACAGCGAGUUCUCAAAGCGUGUAGUUUCACUGUUCAGGUUAAAGUUGAUUCAUGUCAGUGACUCACAUUAAACACACACACUCAGCCUGUUUCAUGUUGUUACACAUGUAUGAUGUAAGACGUCAUGUGACCUUAAACACACUCUCACACACUCUCACACUCUCACACACACAGGUGCUGUUUUUAUUAUUACAGUUGGAUUUACAUUCGUUUACAACCUCUGUUCAAGGUUAUUCUGUCACUACAAUACAGUGUGUGUGUGUGUGUGUGUGUGUGUGUGUGUGAGGGUGUGUGUGUGUGUGUGUGAGGGUGUGUGUGUGUGUGUGUGUGUGUGUGUGUGUGUGUUUUGGGGUGAUUAACUCGGGUUGAGCAGCGUGUCGGAGGAGGAGGAUGGAGGAGUGAAUAUAAAGUGUUUCAGUGUUUCAGGAGUCAUAAACCUGGAGGAGGAGGAGGAGGAGGAGGAGGAGGAGGGGAGGGGCGUCCUGUUUGCUGAGCAUCAUGGGAAAAUGUCCUAACAAGAAAACAAACAGCAUCUGUGUGAGAACUCAAGUGAACUAAAGCCAGUCUGAGUCAGUGAUUAAAGUCCAUCAUACUUAUUUUCUUCAGAAACCACGCCCCCUUAAAAGUCUCAGUGAGUCUCAGCUUUUUGGCUCAGGCUGCGCUCUCAGAAGGCAGAGGACAGAGGUUCUGUCACACUGUACAGGGUUCUGUCACACUGUAUAGGGUUCGCACUGUACAGGGUUCUGUCACACUGUACAGGGUUCUGUCACACUGUAUAGGGUUCACACUGUACAGGGUUCUGUCACACUGUACAGGGUUCUGUCACACUGUAUAGGGUUCGCACUGUACAGGGUUCUGUCGCACUGUAUAAGGUUCUGUCUCACUGUAUAAGGUUCUGUCACACUGUAUAGGGUUCUGUCUCACUGUACAGGGUUCUGUCACACUGUAUAAGGUUCUGUCACACUGUACAGGGUUCUGUCACACUGUAUAGGGUUCUGUCACACUGUAUAGGGUUCUGUCACACUGUACAGGGUUCUGUCUCACUGUACAGGGUUC